GCCGCGGCAGGAAGCGGGCGCGCGCUCUCGAGGCGCUAGGCCUGUAGUUUUCUGGACACUUCCCCACGUAGUUCCCGUCUUUGGGCCUCCGGUCCGUGCAUGGCGGAGUCCCCGGGGAACUCUACCCUGGAGGAGAUUCUGGGGCACUAUCAACGGAGUCUCCGGGAGCGUGCCAAUAGAAGCAUCCAUCAACUGAAAUGUGCCCUGAGAGAAGGUGAUGUCAUGGUUGGAGAAGAUGCACCGGAUCUUUCUUGUAGUGCCCCUAUAGGAAAUGAGGACAAUGAGACUGCCUGGCAUGAACUGCAGCACAGCCAUGCCGUUAAUCAGCUCAAAGCUUUGUUACGUCAACAAGCAAGUAAAGAAAAUGAGGUAUCUCCAACAAGAAGACGAAAAAUGUCCCCUUUGAGGUCAUCAGAAUAUGAAGACACCAAUAUGCCUUCUGUACAUAAUCUUGUUCCUAUCAUUAAUGACCAGUCUCAAUAUAUUCAUCAUUUAGAGGCAGAAGUCAAGUUCUGCAAGGAGGAACUCUCUGGAAUGAAAAAUAGGGUACAAGUAGUUGUACUCGAAAAUGACAGGCUCCAGCAAGAGCUGAAAUCUCAAAGAGGAGAGGAGACAAUGAGAGAACAAACACUCCUGGAUGCAUCUGGAAACAUGCAGAAUUCUUGGAUUACAACAGGUGAAGAUUCUGGGGUAGAUGAAGCUGCCAAGAAAUCAUCAUUGCACGGCCAUAAAGAUCUUGUCAAAGCUGUAUCUGCUGCUGAGGAUGAGAAAUGGAAGCUAGAACUGGCGAGGCUAAAACUUACUUAUGAGGAAAAAAAUGAAAUCCUGGAAUCUCAGUUGAUGUCUCUGAGGAAAGACUUAGCUGAAUAUCAGAAGAAUUGUGAGGAGCUUAAAGAGCAGCUAAAGCAUAAAGAGUCUCUUCUUGCUGCUAAUAUUUCUAACCGUGUUGGUGGUCUUUGUUUGAAAUGUGCUCAGCAUGAAGCUGUUCUUUCCCAAACCCAUAAUAAUGUUCAUAUGCAGACCAUUGAAAGACUGACUAAAGAAAGAGAUGACUUAAUGUCUGCACUAGUUUCCAUAAGGAGCAGUUUGACAGAUGUGCAGCAAAGAGAAGCAAGUGCUUAUGAACAGGUGAAACAAGCUGUGCAAAUGACUGAGGAAGCCAAUUUUGAUAAAACCAAGGCUUUAAUCCAGUGUGAGCAGUUGAAGAAUGAACUGGAGAGGCAAGCAGAGAGACUUGAAAAAGAACUUGCAUCUCAACAAGAGAAAAGGGCUUUCGAGAAAGAGAUGAUGAAAAAGGAAAUAACAAAAGAAAGGGAGGGCAUGGAAGCAAAGGUGAUGACCCUGUCUCAGAAUAUUGCCCAACUGGAGGCUCAGGUAGAAAAGGUUACAAGAGAGAAGAUUUCAGCUGUUAAUCAGUUAGAGGAAAUUCAAAACCAGCUUGCUUCGCGGGAAAUGGAUGUCACAACGGUGUGUGGAGAAAUGCGUUAUCAAUUGAAUAAAACCAAAAUGGAGAAGGAUGAGGCAGAAAAGGAGCACAGAGAGUACAGAACAAAAAGUAAAAGGGAUCUUGAAAUUAAAGAUCAGGAAAUAGAAAAAUUGAGAUUAGAACUGAGUGAAAGCAAGCAGAAUUUGGAACAGGAGCAGCAGAAGGGAGCCGGAGCCAGGGAGGAGUGCCUGAAACUGACAGAACUGCUGGGCGAAUCUGAGCACCAACUGCACCUCACCAGGCUGGAAAAAGAUAGCAUUCAGCAGCACUUCAGCAAUGAAGCAAAGGCCCAAGCCCUUCAGGCCCAGCAAAGAGAACAGGAGCUGACACAGAAGAUACAGCAAAUGGAGGCCCAGCAUGACAAAACUGAAAAUGAACAGUAUUCAUUGCUGACAUCCCAGAAUACAUUUUUGACAAAAUUAAAGGAAGAGUGCUGUACAUUAGCCAAGAAACUGGAGCAAAUCUGUCAGAAAAGCAGAUCUGAAAUAGCUCAGCUCAGUCAAGAAAAAAGGUAUACGUAUGACAAACUGGAAAAGUUACAGAAAAGAAAUGAUGAAUUGGAGGAGCAGUGUGUCCAACAUGGGAAAGUACAUGAGACAAUGAAGCAAAGGAUACUGUGACUGUAUUAGGGCUCAUUCCUAAAUAGUGAAUAAGCAAAUCAACCAGCAAUGAUCAACAAUCCUCUCUUAAAUUAGUGUGUGACAUGAUUACCAAGUCUACAAUUUCUGACUCAUGAGCUGGAAUUGCUGCUCAGGGCUGUAGCAGUUGCAUACGCCUGCACCACUGCCAAGCCAUGGGAGGCUACUGUCCACAGGCAAAGCUUGAGGUGUGAUUAAUGCAGGCUAUUGGGACUGUGCCAAGGAAUGAAUUUAGACAGAAAUAGGUCCCAGAGGGCUUGGUUAUCUCUGUUGCCACCUAUCUGGCCAUAAUGAGCAUGGAAGAUGAAGAAGAUAAUAUAGAAUUGAAGCUGGGAAACUCUUUCUUCUUUACAUGACCAGUCAGAAUAGCACUUGGAAGAUGAUCCUUAGAGGAAGAUAAUCUUUUCUUCUUCAAGCCAAAUAUACUUGUGUCUCCUAUGCUUUAAAAUAAUAAUUUUUGUGACCCAUGUGAAAGUGGUCUUCCAGUUUUUCCAACAAUGUGGAAGUGAUUCAGUUUUACCACAUGUCCCUUAAAAUAUAGUGUUAGUGUGUCAUUUCAUAUUUCUCAUUUUGAAUUAUGCCCACUGUGCUCACUAGCAGGGUUAUCCCCUGCUGGGCCUUGCUGGAUCAUAUGCAAGUCUUGGACUCCUUUUGACUCAUUGCCCAGAAUGGGGAGGCCUAAGUGACUGCAAGUUGAGCAGCCCAUACAGCCUCAUUGGCUCUUUUUCCUUAGGCCCUCACUCCAACCUUGGGGUUCUAGAUCUAUCUCUAUAUUCCAGUCUGGAGAGAAAAUGACUCCAAGGAAAGUUCUGAAAAUGUGUGGGCCUGAUCUCCAGAUAUCUCACAUCAGGACUACUCUUUCAAGUGUGAAAUUUAGAGGGGAUACGGAGGGACAAGGCUCUCAGAAAACUUGAGCUCUCACUAGAGGCCAGCAUUCCCUAAUUCUAGGCAGUUAAUCAUCCUUCUAUUUCCAUAGUAAAUACGUCUAUUUUCUAGCACUUAGAGCACUGUAUUUCAUAGCAUUUUAUGUCCUUCUCCCUUAUUAGAGUGUGAGACUGUCAUUGAGAACCAUGUGUUAUUAAUCUCUGAAGUUCAAAUUCAUAAAACUUAGUAGCUACUGAACAGGUCAACUCAAAUCUUUGGGUAUUAAUUUUCUACCCUAUAAAAUAAAAAAAAAGAUUAUUUUUGGAGAAAACUUAAUAGAAACCUAGUAAAUGAUGAAUUAAUGUAUAAUCCUCUAGUAACUGAAAUUGUUUUAAUUUAAAAGCUGCUAGCUAAUAGGAUAAUACAUGCUAAUUCCAUAUGUGUUCUCAGUUAUUUCCAUCAAGCAUUUAGAUUUCAAACUCACCUGACUUUAUU